UUAAGUUCAGCGGGUAUUCCUACCUGAUCCGAGGUCAACCUUAAAAUUGGGGUGUUUUAUGGCAAGAACCCGCUAUACGGCCAGAGUGAGAUGUAUUACUGCGCUCGGAGUAUAGGCGAGCCCGCCACUGAAUUUCAGGGCAUGCGGCAGCCGCAUAGCCCCAUCGCAAGCCAUAGGGCUUGAUGGUUGAAAUGACGCUC
rnacentral:misc_RNA from 1 species